rnacentral:rRNA from 1 species
UACGGAGGGGGCUAGCGUUGUUCGGAAUUACUGGGCGUAAAGCGCACGUAGGCGGUUACUCAAGUCAGAGGUGAAAGCCCGGAGCUUAACUCCGGAAUUGCCUUUGAAACUAGGUGACUUGAAUCCAGGAGAGGUGAGUGGAAUUCCGAGUGUAGAGGUGAAAUUCGUAGAUAUUCGGAAGAACACCAGUGGCGAAGGCGGCUCACUGGACUGGUAUUGACGCUGAGGUGCGAAAGCGUGGGGAGCAAACAGG